AUCGGCGGGGAAUCGAAUCCGGGUCGCCCGCGUGACAGGCGGGAAUACUAACCACUAUACUACCGA
rnacentral:tRNA from 1 species